rnacentral:lncRNA from 1 species
UUUAAAGACUGGAGAAAAAAGGCUUCAAAAGAAAAACAGAUUUGGAUAAGAUCUUAUUCUCUGAGGGGCUGCUAUGGUAAGACCUCAAGGUGUUUUUAUAGGUCCCUCUCAUGAGACCAGGAAGAUUAGAGUUUUUUCCUCUCGCAAGACUCAAAGCUUCAGAGAGAAUGGAGGCCAGUUGAACCUUAAUAAACACUCUUCAGAGAAAAAAAGGGAGAAGGAGUUGAAGGCCAGUUGAUGAAUCAUAACUAAUUAACUUGUUUUGUCUUCCCUGACUCUCUGGCUUUAUUAAAUAAACAUAGAUGAUCUUAAUAAAAUAAGUUUUGGCUAACUUUAUGGUGUCCUGUUACCAGCGCUAGAGCCAGGAGACCUGGCUUCUAAUUUCAAGUAUAUCUCUAACUAGCUGUGUGAUCUUGGGCAGUCCUGACCCCUCUCUGAGGUUUGGCUCCACGAUGGACAUAACCAGAAGACUGAACUCAUUGGCACAACUCCCUAUAUACUCAAGUCUACAUGUCUUCAAUUUUAGGAAUGAAUGGAUGGAUGUUGACUCCACGGCUUGCCAGCCCAGCGCUGCCCUCAGCCUGCGGGUAAAUCCAAUUUCAGCCUCUGAGUGCUCAGCGCUAUCAGCACCUCGCCACUGCCGGAAGCCACAGGCCAAUCUGAAAAAGUUCCUCUUCCACCGGAUUCUCAGGUGUCUUAGGCACCUGAAGAUAAACGAUGGUCAACUGCUAUGCUGGUGUGAACCAGGGACAACUAUUGAGAGCCCACAUCUGCUGUUUCACCUUGAGACAAGGAACCUGUUCACACUGGAUGAGCCCAUGUCUAUGCAUGUCCUCUUUCAGAUGGCCCUGAAGGUGACAUAG